ACCGGCUAACUCCGUGCCAGCAGCCGCGGUAAUACGGAGGGUGCGAGCGUUAAUCGGAAGUUACUGGGCGUAAAGCGCAUGCAGGUGGUUUGUUAAGUCAGAUGUGAAAGCCCGGGGCUCAACCUCGGAAUUGCAUUUGAAACUGGCAAACUAGAGUACUGUAGAGGGGGUAGAAUUUCAGGUGUAGCGGUGAAAUGCGUAGAGAUCUGAAGGAAUACCGGUGGCGAAGGCGGCCCCCUGGACAGAUACUGACACUCAGAUGCGAAAGCGUGGGGAGCAAACAGGAUUAGAUACCCUGGUAG
rnacentral:rRNA from 1 species